CCGAUGAGCCCACAGCUCCCACCCCAAAGGCACAUCCUCUCUUGCCCCUGCAGCCUUGAAUGGACCUGGGCCACAUGUGGUGCCCAGUGGUGCAAUUGCAGUCCCCGUGAGGCUGAGCUCUGUGUUGUCCCCUUCAAGGAGCAAUCUGUGCCGGUGACGCUGGAGGAGGUGACGGUGCACUUCUCGGCAGAGGAGUGGGCGCUGCUGGAGGAGUGGCAGCGGGAGCUGCACCGCGAGGUGACGGCGGCGACGGCGCAGCUGUUGGCAUCACUGGAUGGACCACAAGAUGCAGCCGCAGGGCAGGAGCCGCGAGGACCCCCUGGCAGUGCAUCCCUCUGUGCCCUGGUGCGCCUGGUGAGGGACAUCCCACAGUUCCUCUUCGGCAGCUCCAAUGGUGCAGGGCCGCGUGCUGCUGCUGGUGGGGAUACAGCACUGCGACCUGAGUUUCUGGGUGCAGGUGGUGAAGCACAGGCGGCUCUGGAGAAUUCCAAUCUCGAUGUCUUGGAGGGAGCGGCACCGUCGCGGCAUGGCAGCCCCAGCAGCACAGCAGCCAUAGCACCGCGGUGGGGGAAAGCCCUGGUGACACCACACUUCCACCAAAUGGAGAUCUCAAAGUGGACGAGCAUGAACAUGUCCAUUGGGGACAGUGGGACAGAGGAGCAG
rnacentral:lncRNA from 1 species